AUUGAACGCUGGCGGCAGGCCUAACACAUGCAAGUCGAGCGGAGCGGCGGACGGGUGAGUAAUGCCUAGGAAUCUGCCUGGUAGUGGGGGAUAACGUCCGGAUACGGGCGCUAAUACCGCAUCCUAUCAGAUGUGCCUAGGUUGGAUUAGCUAGUUGGUGGGGUAAAGGCCUACCAAGGCGACGAUCCGUACAUGGUCUGAGAGGAUGAUCAGGCACACUGGAACGGAGAAACGGUCCAGACUCCUACGGGAGGAAGCAUUGGGUAAUAUUGGACAAGGGACGAAAGCCUGAUCCAGCCAUGCCGCGGGUGUGAAGAAGGUCUUCGGAUUGUAAAACACUUUAAGUUGGGAGGCGUUACCAACAGAAUAAGCACCGGCUAACUUCGUGCCAGCAGCCGCGGUAAUUC
rnacentral:rRNA from 1 species